UGUGGGAGCGAGCUUGCUCGCGAUAGCUGCGUGUCAGUCAACAACAAGGCUACUGAUCCGCCGCUAUCGCGAGCAAGCUCGCUCCCACA
rnacentral:misc_RNA from 1 species